rnacentral:rRNA from 1 species
GACGUAGGGCGCGAGCGUUGUCCGGAUUUAUUGGGCGUAAAGAGCUCGUAGGCGGCUUGUUGCGUCGACCGUGAAAACCCGGGGCUCAACUUCGGGCUUGCGGUCGAUACGGGCGGGCUAGAGUUCGGUAGGGGAGACUGGAAUUCCUGGUGUAGCGGUGAAAUGCGUAGAUAUCAAGUGGAACACCAGUGGCGAAGGCGAGUCCCUGGACAACACCUGACACUGAGGCACGAAAGCCGGGGGAGCAAACAGG